GCGUCCUUAGCUCAGCUGGAUAGAGUACCUGGCUACGAACCAGGCGGUCGGAGGUUCGAAU
rnacentral:tRNA from 1 species